UGGGGAAUAUUGGACAAUGGGCGAAAGCCUGAUCCAGCCAUGCCGCGUGUGUGAAGAAGGUCUUCGGAUUGUAAAGCACUUUAAGUUGGGAGGAAGGGCAUUAACCUAAUACGUUAGUGUUUUGACGUUACCGACAGAAUAAGCACCGGCUAACUCUGUGCCAGCAGCCGCGGUAAUACAGAGGGUGCAAGCGUUAAUCGGAAUUACUGGGCGUAAAGCGCGCGUAGGUGGUUUGUUAAGUUGGAUGUGAAAUCCCCGGGCUCAACCUGGGAACUGCAUUCAAAACUGAAUGACUAGAGUAUGGUAGAGGGUGGUGGAAUUUCCUGUGGAGCGGUGAAAUGCGUAGAUAUAGGAAGGAACACCAGUGGCGAAGGCGACCACCUGGACUAAUACUGACACUGAGGUGCGAAAGCGUGGGGAGCAAACA
rnacentral:rRNA from 1 species